UCGGGGCAGGGUAAGUCGACCCCUAAGGCGAGGCCGAAAGGCGUAGUCGAUGGGAAACGGGUUAAUAUUCCCGUACUUCUUACAAUUGCGAUGGGGGGACGGAGAAGGCUAGGUGGGCCUGGCGACGGUUGUCCAGGUUCAAGUGCGUAGGCUUAAGAGUUAGGUAAAUCCGGCUCUUUUUAAGGCUGAGACACGACGUCGAGCAUCUACGGAUGUGAAGUCAUUGAUGCCAUGCUUCCAGGAAAAGCCUCUAAGCUUCAGAUUGUAAGGAAUC
rnacentral:rRNA from 1 species